UACGGAGGGAGCUAGCGUUAUUCGGAAUUACUGGGCGUAAAGCGCACGUAGGCGGCUUGUAAGUUAGAGGUGAAAGCCUGGAGCUCAACUCCAGAACUGCCUUUAAGACUGCAUCGCUUGAAUCCAGGAGAGGUGAGUGGAAUUCCGAGUGUAGAGGUGAAAUUCGUAGAUAUUCGGAAGAACACCAGUGGCGAAGGCGGCUCACUGGACUGGUAUUGACGCUGAGGUGCGAAAGCGUGGGGAGC
rnacentral:rRNA from 1 species